CUGCAGCAAAGAAUUUUUCCCUACUUUACGGCGCAGCCGCGAACGCCCCCAAGGGGCGGGGUUUUGGAAGGGAGCUCCGGAAGGCGAGAUAAAUACAUAACUCCUUAGAGGCUGGCUAAAGAGAGUUUUGAAUUGCUAGUGACUUUUGAAGGUACAAAGACAAGGAGUGUCUGUGGUUCUGCCCUUCCUCUGCCACUGGAUCCUGAAGCCGGUCAAGUGCCACUGGACUUCAUUUACUGUCUUCUCUGCCUUCUGCUGGCCUUAGGGGAAAAAAAAAGUGAGGUCAUAUUUGAUGUCCUUUUCUUUGGCUAGAAAUCUGAACUGGUCUUUGGAAAUACAAGGUCUUAACAAGGAUGGUGUAUGCUUUGGACUUUGGCAUUUCCAUGAUGAGUUUAGGACUUUGGCUCCUUCCCAGACUGUACAUGCUGAGACCUUGGGGAGCACGGCUUCCAGUCAAUGUGCCUGGAUCUCCUCUCUUCUCUUCUGCCUGUCCCUGCCAGCCCUCCUUCACUCCAGACUCCCUGUCAGCCCUCCCUCACCUCCAGACUCCCUGUCAGCCCUCCCUCACUUCCAGACCCAAAAGAAGGUCAGCUGCAAUAAGGACUGACUGACUUGGGAUGGGAAGGGCAAAACUGAAUUGAAGCAAGAGUUCUACUUCAGCAUCUGGUGCACAGAUUUAGUAACUUUAGUGAAAUUAAAAACCAAGACAAAACAAAUGCAGAGCCUAUAUUACAAGAUUUGUUAUAGGAUCCUUAAUUUAUCUGCUUGGCUUUUGAUGAAAUUGUUUUUUUUUUUUUUUUUUUUUUUUUUUUUCUUGCACUGAAAUGUAUAAUGUCCUCUACUAGUUAAGCUCUGGAAUCUUUUCCAGUCAACUUCCUCCCUCUGGGAUGUAAUAAAGAGACAACUUAUGACCCAAAAGCAUGUGGGAGACAAAUUUUCCAUGGGAAAAAAAAAGGUUUUUACUAUAUGUUAUGUUUCUCAAAGGAAAGGGGGUCAAAACAUAGAUAACAAUCCUCUGUAACCACUUACUGAAUACCAGAUUUGUUUUGAGAAUAGUAAAAUGUAGUUUGUUAUUUUUGAAAAGAUGAGUAUUUUGUCACAGAUGUUUUAAUUUCUAUAACAUCCAUGUGUAAAUUAGAAUAAAGAAGAAAUUAAAAUUAGCUACUGUAUCUGCAUAUUCUAUUUCCUCCCCAAAAAAGGGUGAGCAAAGAGAUACAGAGUGUCAUAUAGGUGGAAGCAGACCUCGUCUGUCUGGGGGUCAGAUGACUGAAGACUUUUAUCCUUGACCCGCCACUUCCUAGUGUGACCUUGAGCUCAGCCUCACUCUCCUAAGAUGUGAAAUGGGAACAAUUAUACUCCCAAGAAUGUUUGUGAGAAAUAAAUAAUUUGUGCAAAAUACUUGGCUCUAGCACGAAUUCAAUACAUGAUAGUUGAUAAUAUAACUCAACACAGGAUUGUCAAAGUUCUAAUAGUUUUAAUGGCAUUUGAUUACCUAAAGGAAAUGUGAUAUUAUUCAAAGUCUACAUUAGUAUUUAUAUAAAUCUCAUAAAGAUAAAUGUUCGGCAUUCAUCAAUGGAUGUCAUCGAGGAAGGCAAUAACAAUUCAAGACAAUUCAGAUUUAUAUUUAUCAGAAUUUGGACUAAUUAUUGAAAAUAGUUUGUGUUUAAGUUGGUCUUAUUAUGAUAUUAAAGCCAUCAUGUCAAGGAAACUAUUUUGUUUGGGUGAUAUUACUUAGAUAUCAGGAGUCAGAAAAUUCCAUUUAAAAAAUUGUUUAAAAGCAAAUUUGAGUUAUAGGGUAAAUAUAUUUAUGAGCUGUAAGUAUAAUAUGAAAACUUUAAAUAUUGCUACAUGUAAACUUCUUUGUCUCUUUAUAACUGAGCCAAUUUCUCUUUCCCAAAACUGCUAUGCUAGGAGGUAGAAAUGAGACCUCUAGCUAAUCUCAGCUGAUUUAGUCUUCUCCCGUGCCUACCCCCUAUACUUUUCUCACUGGGCUGGCAUCCACAUGGUAGGCAGGUGGCAUUUGCUGCUAAGCCACAGUCACCUCCCCUGCUGGCUCCCUCUGAGGUGGAAGUCAUUGUGGGAUCUGUGAUCAAACAUUUGAGGUGCAGGCCUGCUUCAGUUCUGCAGUCCCACAGAAGCAAACUAAGUGUCCAUCAAUGGAUGAAUGGAUAAAGAUGUGAUACGUAUACACAAUGGGAACCUGCUCAGCCACAGAAAAGAACAAAACAAUGCCAU